rnacentral:rRNA from 1 species
CUACGGGAGGCUGCAGUGGGGAAUAUUGGACAUUGGGGGAAACCCUGAUCCAGCAAUGCCGCGUGUGUGAAGAAGGCCUGCGGGUUGUAAAGCACUUUCGGUUGGGAGGACUGCUUCUAGCACUAAUAUUGUUGGAAGUUGACGUUACCUUCAGAAGAAGCACCGGCUAACUCCGUGCCAGCAGCCGCGGUAAUACGGAGGGUGCAAGCGUGAAUCGGAAUUACUGGGCGUAAAGCGCGCGUAGGCGGCUAGAUCAGUCGGGUGUGAAAGCCCCGGGCUUAACCUGGGAACUGCAUCCGAUACUGUCUAGCUUGAGUACAGGAGAGGAGAGUGGAAUUCCACAUGUAGCGGUGAAAUGCGUAGAUAUGUGGAGGAACACCAAUGGCGAAGGCAGCUCUCUGGCCUGAUACUGACGCUGAGGUGCGAAAGCGUGGGGAGCAAACAGGAUUAGAUACCCCGGUAGUC